GAUGAAGAACGCAGCGAAAUGCGAUAAGUAAUGUGAAUUGCAGAAUUCAGUGAAUCAUCGAAUCUUUGAACGCACCUUGCGCUCCUUGGUAUUCCGAGGAGCAUGCCUGUUUGAGUGUCAUGAAAUUCUCAACCUUUUCAGCUUUCUUUGUUUAUCAGGCUUGGAUGUGGGAGUAUGCGGGCUUCUCAGAAGUCGGCUCUCCUGAAAUGCAUUAGCGGGACCUUUGUUGCCUGGCUUUGGUGUGAUAAUUAUCUACGCCAUUGUAGUCAAGCAGCUUAAAAUGAGGUUUCAGCUUCUAACCGUCUCCCCUGAGACAACUUUUUGACAAUUUGACCUCAAAUCAGGUAGGACUACCCGCUGAACUUAAGCAUAUCAAUAAGCGGAGGA
rnacentral:misc_RNA from 1 species